rnacentral:rRNA from 1 species
AGUGAACGCUGGCGGUAGGCCUAACACAUGCAAGUCGAACGGCAGCACAGUAAGAGCUUGCUCUUACGGGUGGCGAGUGGCGGACGGGUGAGGAAUACAUCGGAAUCUACUUUUUCGUGGGGGAUAACGUAGGGAAACGUACGCGAAUACCGCAUACGACCUACGGGUGAAAGCAGGGGAUCUUCGGACCUUGCGCGAUUGAAUGAGCCGAUGUCGGAUUAGCUAGUUGGCGGGGUAAAGGCCCACCAAGGCGACGAUCCGUAGCUGGUCUGAGAGGAUGAUCAGCCACACUGUAAAUGAGACACGGUCCAGACUCCUACGGGAGGCAGCAGUGGGGAAUAUUGGACAAUGCGCGCAAGCCUGAUCCAGCCAUACCGCGUGGGUGAAGAAGGCCUUCGGGUUGUAAAGCCCUUUUGUUGGGAAAGAAAAGCAGCAGGUUAAUACCCCGCUGUUCUGACGGUACCCAAAGAAUAAGCACCGGCUAACUUCGUG